rnacentral:rRNA from 1 species
GUCCUGGCAGUAAACGGUGCGCGUUUGGUGUGGGAGGAUUCGACCCCUUCUGUGCCGGAGCUAACGCGUUAAACGCGCCGCCUGGGGAGUACGGUCGCAAGAUUAAAACUCAAAGAAAUUGACGGGGGCCCGCACAAGCGGUGGAGUAUGUGGCUUAAUUCGAUGCAACGCGAAGAACCUUACCUAAGCCUUGACAUGCAUCUCUAAGUCGGUGAAAGCCGGCGACUGUCGCAAGACAGAAUUUGCACAGGUGCUGCAUGGCUGUCGU